rnacentral:misc_RNA from 1 species
CCUCUCUAUCUUUCUCUCUCCAACCUCUGAUUUGAUCAGUCGGUUUUCUUUUUCGAUUUUCAUCGAAAUGCCUUCCAAUCAUUUGCUUCUCGAGGAGCCUAUAAGGAUGGCUUCAAUUCUGGAGCCAUCAAAACCAACUUUUUUUCCUGCGAUGACAAAGAUUGUUGGGACACUUGGUCCAAAAUCACGGACUGUUGAGAUCAUUUCUAGUUGUCUAAGCUCCGGGAUGUCUGUGGCACGGUUUGACUUUUCAUGGGGUGAUGCUGAAUAUCAUCAAGAGACAUUGGAAAAUCUGAAAGCUGCAAUCAAGAGCACCAAGAAGCUCUGUGCGGUCAUGCUAGAUACAGUGGGUCCAGAGUUGCAAGUUGUCAAUACAACAGAGCAUCCAAUUUCCCUUCAGGCUGAUACCUCUGUUGUCCUAACACCUGAUCAAGGCAAAGAAGCCACUUCAAAUCUGCUACCAAUAAAUUUUACUGGCCUGUCAAAGGCAGUGAAGCAGGGAGAUACUAUUUUUAUUGGUCAAUACCUGUUUACAGGAAGUGAAACUACUUCUGUGUGGCUAGAGGUCAUUGAAGUAAAUGGUGAGGACGUGGUUUGUUUGAUAAAGAAUUCUGCUACCUUGGGUGGGCCAUUGUACACUUUACAUGUUUCUCAAAUUCGUAUUGAGCUUCCUACCCUCACUGAUAAAGAUAAGGAGGUCAUAAGUACAUGGGGAGUUCGGAACAAUAUAGACUUCCUCUCAUUGUCUUAUACUCGGCAUGCAGAAGAUAUUCGCCAUGCCCGAGAGUUUCUUUCUAAACUUGGGGAUCUCCAUCAAACUCAAAUUUUUGCAAAAAUUGAAAAUAUAGAGGGAUUAACUCAUUUUGAUGAAAUCC